GAUGAACGCUGGCGGCGUGCCUAAUACAUGCAAGUCGAGCGAACAGACGAGGAGCUUGCUCCUCUGACGUUAGCGGCGGACGGGUGAGUAACACGUGGAUAACCUACCUAUAAGACUGGGAUAACUUCGGGAAACCGGAUCUAAUACCGGAUAAUAUAUUGAACCGCAUGGUUCAAUAGUGAAAGACGUUUUUGCCGUCACUUAUAGAUGUAUCCGCGCCGCAUUAGCUAGUUGGUAAGGUAACGGCUUACCAAGGCGACGAUGCGUAUCCGACCUGAUAGGGGGAUCGGCCACACUGGAAGUGAGACACGGAACAGACAACUACGGGAGGCAGCAGUAGGGAAUAUUACGCAAUGGGCGAAAGCAUGACGGAGCAAAGCCGCGUGAGUGAUGAAGGUCUUCGGAUCGUAAAACUCUGUUAUUAGGGAAGAAAAAAUGUGUAAGUAACUAUGCACGUAUUGACGGUACCUAAUCAGAAAGCCACGGCUAACUACGUG
rnacentral:rRNA from 1 species